rnacentral:rRNA from 1 species
CCUACGGGUGGCAGCAGUGAGGAAUAUUGGUCAAUGGCCGAGAGGCUGAACCAGCCAAGUCGCGUGAGGGAAGACGGCCCUACGGGUUGUAAACCUCUUUUGUCUGGGAGCAAAGCUACCCACGUGUGGUUCAUUGAGAGUACCCGAAGAAAAAGCAUCGGCUAACUCCGUGCCAGCAGCCGCGGUAAUACGGAGGAUGCGAGCGUUAUCCGGAUUUAUUGGGUUUAAAGGGUGCGCAGGCGGAGGUGCAAGUCAGCGGUCAAAUUGCGGGGCUCAACCCCGUACUGCCGUUGAAACUGCAUCACGUGAGUGCGCGAGAAGUAUGCGGAAUGCGUGGUGUAGCGGUGAAAUGCAUAGAUAUCACGCAGAACUCCGAUUGCGAAGGCAGCAUACCGGCGCGCAACUGACGCUCAUGCACGAAAGCGUGGGUAUCGAACAGGAUUAGAUACCCGGGUAGUC